UACGAACUGUGCAAACGUUAUUCGGAAUCACUGGGCUUAAAGGGCGCGUAGGCGGAUCAGCAAGUCCGGGGUGAAAUCGUUUCGGCUCAACCGGAAAAGGGCCUUGGAUACUGCUGGUCUGGAGGGAGGUAGGGGCAGCUGGAACUUCCGGUGGAGCGGUGAAAUGCGUUGAUAUCGGAAGGAACUCCGGUGGCGAAGGCGAGCUGCUGGACCUCUUCUGACGCUGAGGCGCGAAAGCUAGGGGAGCAAACGGG
rnacentral:rRNA from 1 species